GAUGAAGAACGCAGCGAAACGCGAUAAGUAAUGUGAAUUGCAGAAUUCAGUGAAUCAUCGAAUCUUUGAACGCACAUUGCGCCCGCCAGUAUUCUGGCGGGCAUGCCUGUUCGAGCGUCAUUUCAACCAUCAAGCCCCCGGCUUGUGUUGGGGACCUGCGGCUGCCGCAGGCCCUGAAAUGCAGUGGCGGGCUCGCUGUCACUCCGAGCGUAGUAGUUACAUCUCGCUCUGGGCGUGCUGCGGGUUCCGGCCGUUAAAAGCCUUAUUUACCCAAGGUUGACCUCGGAUCAGGUAGGAAGACCCGCUGAACUUAAGCAUAUCAAUAAGCGGAGGA
rnacentral:misc_RNA from 1 species